AGAGCUGUUCUCCCGUGCGGAGGGGAUCCUGGCUGUUCCCAAAUCUCGCCUGCCUGCGAGGAGCCAGCGUGGCCCGGGCAGCUGAUCUCAACCUGUGAUUGUGACAUCACCCCUACCUGAGGAAGCCUCUUCCAGCCUGCUCAAGGUUGCCGUAGUUAGGUUUACCCUCCCUUCCUUCCCUCACCCCGUCCUUUCCCUCAUCCCUGCCCCUUCCUCUGUCCCACGCGGCUUUCAGACAUGCAUAGUGCAGCCCCUCAGUAAAGGUGCAGCUAAUGGCCCGUGGGCCUAGCAGUUGUCAGGCCUUUUGGGAGCCCAUGAUGGGAGCUCCCUGAUCCUCCUCUGUACCCCAAGAACACCCCAUUGGAUUUCCGGGCUGGCUGCUUGGCCUACACACCUGGGUCAGGCCUCUCGCAGGGAUGCGCCUGCCACUGUAAUAAAGAGGAGAAAACGUCACACGGGAAAGGCCUGACUCCUUCGUACAAUCAGAAUACUCAACUGCACAGAGAAGGGACCCCUUUAAGCCACUUUGGGAGCCACAUCCACCACUCUGUGACUCCCACACAGGCUGGUUCCCAGGUAUCAGGUGUCCUAGUGUUAACACGGGCCAAAAGGACAAAACAGGACCCUAGGUCCUUCCCAAAACAUUAGGAAAGUUUGUGUACUGAGUUUUUCAGAUUAACUAAGUAAUUCAUAUUGUACAUUUCUGAAAUUGAAGUACGCACAGCUUCAAUUCUGUGCAGGGAGGAUGCAGCAGGAGAGAAUAUCCUGGGCACAUCUUUCUGGAGAAUCACUUUUACUACAAGAUUUGUAAGAAACAAAUUUAUUUCCAAGCCCCUGGGAAACACUCUCCUACUUGGUGUUUUCUAUGACUUUAACUACUCUUAAGUACCAC
rnacentral:lncRNA from 1 species